UACGUAGGCAGCAAGCGUUGUUCGGAGUUACUGGGCGUAAAGGGCGCGUAGGUGGGAAUGUAAGUCAGUGGUGAAAUCUCCGUGCUUAACAUGGAAACUGCCAUUGAUACUAUGUUUCUUGAAUUUUCUGGAGGUAAGCGGAAUAUGUCAUGUAGCGGUGAAAUGCGUAGAUAUGACAUAGAACACCAAUUGCGAAGGCAGCUUGCUGCAGGGAUAUUGACACUGAGGCACGAAAGCGUGGGGAUCAAACAGG
rnacentral:rRNA from 1 species